rnacentral:lncRNA from 10 species
GGGGCUGGGGCCCGGGGAGGCCACCAGGGCGGGGCCGGGCGCGGGGCGGCGCUUCUUCGCGCCUCCCGGCCCCGGCCUGGCGUCCGUGGGGCGCUGUGCGUCUCCGAGAACGAAGCGGCCUCCGGGUUCGUGUGCUCCGAGCCCGAGUACUGUUUGCGGCCGUCGUCCCGUCCUGGAGCAGGAGUGAGGAAGCGCCUCUCACUCCCCCGCGAACCCGCAGAACAGGCCGCCGGCGCUAUGGAGACCGGCGGAGCUUCCCGCUCCUUCACCAAGGGGCCCUGACGCGCAGUUGAAAGCGCGGAUUUUGCCGGGCGCGGCGGCUGCGUCCGGAGUCCCAGCGCCUUGGGAGGCGAGGCGGGAGGAUCCCCACGGCCCGGGAGCUCGAGACCAGCCCGGGCAAAUAUUUUGAAAGUCAUGUUACAGAAGCUCUCAGUGGGCUGUGGAGACGCUGCCGUCUCCUGAACACAUCCAGCGACCACAUGACUAAGCAAAGGCAGCGGAGAGUGGACGGACGGUGAUGGACGCGGCCACGGAGCCCAAGCGCCCACAAUGCGCAUUCCUGUCUUUUCUCUCCCCGCUCACCUCAGAGCGGGACGGAAGGUGGGACUGGGAGAGCUGUUCUCGGGCAGGUGGACGCUGUGGAUUAGCGGAGAGGGAAGGCACUUUCGUUCUCGGCACCGUGAGGCUGUCCUGGUCAAUCCUGUUUUCAUGCUUGAGGGUCUCUGGUGCAGCAGCUCCACCAGCCUUGACACCAGGACUUCUGUGGAAUCCAGGUAAGCAGCCAGGGUCCUGAUAGGGCCAUGCCCUCACCCCCAUGUAAUGCAUCCACUCCCAGUUAAAUGAGAAAGGAACAAUCACAGGAAAACAUGGAGAACAACUCCACUGUUCAGAAGCCAACCCUAUAUUAGCUACUGUUUAGGUAGAAAUGAAAAACUUUGAGACGUAAACUCCUGCAGGUAGAAGUAGAUUUCCGGUGAAUGAACAAAAUGAAGCUUAUUAGAAUCAAUGGCCUCUUCUGAGAGCCGUUCUGAAUUUUUUUUUUUUUGAGACGGAGUCUUGCUAUGUCGCCCAGGCUGGAGUGCAGUGGCGCGAUCUCGG